rnacentral:rRNA from 1 species
AUUGAACGCUGGCGGCAUGCUUUACACAUGCCAGUCGGACGGCAGCACAGAGAAGCUUGCUUCUUGGGUGGCGAGUGGCGAACGGGUGAGUAACAUAUCGGAACGUACCGAGCAGUGGGGGAUAACUAAUCGAAAGAUUAGCUAAUACCGCAUAUUUUCUGAGGAAGAAAGCAGGGGACCUUUGGGCCUUGCGCUGUUUGAGCGGCCGAUAUCUGAUUAGCUAGUUGGUGGGGUAAAGGCCUACCAAGGCGACGAUCAGUAGCGGGUCUGAGAGGAUGAUCCGCCACACUGGGACUGAGACACGGCCCAGACUCCUACGGGAGGCAGCAGUGGGGAAUUUUGGACAAUGGGCGCAAGCCUGAUCCAGCCAUGCCGCGUGUCUGAAGAAGGCCUUCGGGUUGUAAAGGACUUUUGUCAGGGAAGAAAAGGGCGGGGUUAAUACCCCUGUCUGAUGACGGUACCUGAAGAAUAAGCACCGGCUAACUACGUG